GCCUUGGUAGUCUAGUGGUUCAUGAUUCUCGCUUUGGGUUUCAAUUUGCGAGAGGUCCCCGGUUCGACUCCGGGCCAAGGCC